UGGAGCGUGUGGUUUAAUUCGAUGCAACGCGAAGAACCUUACCAGGGCUUGACAUGCAGUUGCUAAUCCCGGGAAACCGGGACUCCUUCGAGGGUACUGCACAGGUGCUGCAUGGCUGUCGUCAGCUCGUGUCGUGAGAUGUUGGGUUAAGUCCCGCAACGAGCGCAACCCUUGUUGUUAGUUGCCAGCACGAAAGGUGGGCUCUCUAACAAGACUGCCGGUGUUAAACCGGAGGAAGGUGGGGAUGACGUCAAGUCAGCAUGGCCUUUAUAUCUUGGGCA
rnacentral:rRNA from 1 species